rnacentral:rRNA from 1 species
CCUACGGGAGGCAGCAGUGGGGAAUAUUGCACAAUGGGGGAAACCCUGAUGCAGCGACGCCGCGUGAGUGAGGAAGUAUUUCGGGAUGUAAAGCUCUAUCAGCAGGGAAGAAAAUGACGGUAACUGAGUAAGAAGCCACGGCUAACUACGUGACAGCAGCGGCGGUAAUACGAAGGGGGCAAGCGUUAUCCGGAUUUACUGGGUGUAAAGGGAGCGUAGCCGGCUCAUCAAGUCAGAAGUGAACACCCAGGGCUCAACCUUGGGAGUGCUUUUGAAACGGAGUAGCUAGAGUGCAGGAGAGGUAAGCGGACUUCCUCGUGUAGCGGUGAAAUGCGUCGAUAUUAGGCGGAACCCCAGUGGCGAAGGCGGCUUACUGGACUGUAACUGACGUUGAGGCUCGAAAGCGUGGGUAGCAAACAGGAUUAGAUACCCCUGUAGUC